rnacentral:rRNA from 1 species
AAAAGGUGGCUAUGCUACCGCCUUUGGAUGGGCCCGCGGCGCAUUAGCUAGUUGGUGGGGUAAAGGCUUACCAAGGCAAUGAUGCGUAGCCGAACUGAGAGGUUGAUCGGCCACAUUGGGACUGAGACACGGCCCAAACUCCUACGGGAGGCAGCAGUAGGGAAUCUUCCACAAUGGGCGAAAGCCUGAUGGAGCAACGCCGCGUGGGUGAAGAAGGUCUUCGGAUCGUAAAACCCUGUUGUUAGAGAAGAAAGUGCGUGAGAGUAACUGUUCACGUUUCGACGGUAUCUAACCAGAAAGCCACGGCUAACUACGUGCCAGCAGCCGCGGUAAUACGUAGGUGGCAAGCGUUAUCCGGAUUUAUUGGGCGUAAAGGGAACGCAGGCGGUCUUUUAAGUCUGAUGUGAAAGCCUUCGGCUUAACCGGAGUAGUGCAUUGGAAACUGGGAGACUUGAGUGCAGAAGAGGAGAGUGGAACUCCAUGUGUAGCGGUGAAAUGCGUAGAUAUAUGGAAGAACACCAGUGGCGAAAGCGGCUCUCUGGUCUGUAACUGACGCUGAGGUUCGAAAGCGUGGGUAGCAAACAGGAUUAGAUACCCUGGUAGUCCACGCCGUAAACGAUGAAUGCUAAGUGUUGGAGGGUUUCCGCCCUUCA